rnacentral:rRNA from 1 species
UACAGAGGUCCCAAGCGUUGUUCGGAUUCAUUGGGCGUAAAGGGCGCGUAGGUGGUUCUGUAUGUCUGCCGUGAAAGGGUACAGCUCAACUGUAGCUUGUCGGCAGAAACUGCAGGACUUGAGGCUGGGAGGGGCUGGUGGAAUUCCCUGUGUAGCGGUGAAAUGCGUAGAGAUGGGGGAGAACACUCGUGGCGAAGGCGGCCAGCUAGACCAGUUCUGACACUGAGGCGCGACAGCGUGGGGAGCAAACCGG